CUAGAAGAAAAGCCCCUAUCCUUAACAAAAUUAAGUGAAUACUUAAAAUAGUAGUAAUUUUAUUUCUAUCUUUUCA
rnacentral:antisense_RNA from 2 species